rnacentral:rRNA from 1 species
UGGGGAAUAUUGCGCAAUGGGCGAAAGCCUGACGCAGCGACGCCGCGUGGGGGAUGAAGGCCUUCGGGUUGUAAACCCCUUUCAGCAGGGACGAAGCGAAAGUGACGGUACCUGCAGAAGAAGCGCCGGCUAACUACGUGCCAGCAGCCGCGGUAACACGUAGGGCGCAAGCGUUGUCCGGAAUUAUUGGGCGUAAAGAGCUCGUAGGCGGUCUGUUGCGUCCGCUGUGAAAACUCGGGGCUUAACCCCGAGCCUGCAGUGGAUACGGGCAGACUAGAGGUAGGUAGGGGAGAAUGGAAUUCCCGGUGUAGCGGUGAAAUGCGCAGAUAUCGGGAGGAACACCGGUGGCGAAGGCGGUUCUCUGGGCCUUACCUGACGCUGAGGAGCGAAAGCGUGGGGAGCGAACAGGAUUAGAUACCCGCGUAGUCC